GUGGGGAAUAUUGGGCAAUGGGGGAAACCCUGACCCAGCGACGCCGCGUGAGGGAAGAAGGCCUUAGGGUCGUAAACCUCUGUUGUGUGGGAAGAAGAGCGUGACGGUACCACACGAGGAAGUCCCGGCUAACUACGUGCCAGCAGCCGCGGUAAUACGUAGGGGACGAGCGUUGUCCGGAUUUACUGGGCGUAAAGGGCGCGUAGGCGGGCAUUUAAGUCAGCUGUGACAUGGUUUGGCUUAACCGGAUCAUGCGGUUUAAACUGGAUGACUGGAGUGCUGGAGAGGCAAGUGGAAUUCCCAGUGUAGCGGUGAAAUGCGUAGAUAUUGGGAAGAACACCGGUGGCGAAGGCGACUUGCUGGCCAGCAACUGACGCUGAGGCGCGAAAGCCAGGGGAGCAAACGGGAUUAGAAACCCCUGUAGUCC
rnacentral:rRNA from 1 species